AAUAGAUACCCCGGUAGUCCAUGCCUUAAACGAUGCAUACUAGGAGUAGGAGGGCUCAACCCCCCCUGUUCCGGAGCUAACGCAUUAAGUAUGCCGCCUGGGGAGUACGCUCGCAAGGGUGAAACUCAAAAGAAUUGACGGGGGCCCGCACAAGCAGUGGAGCAUGUGGUUUAAUUCGAUGCAACGCGAAGAACCUUACCUGGGCUCGAAAUGUAGAGGACGACAUCAGAGAUGAUGUUUCUCGAAAGGGUCUCUAUAUAGGUGCUGCAUGGCUGUCGUCAGCUCGUGCCGUGAGGUGUUUGGUUAAGUCCAGCAACGAGCGCAACCCUUAUCGUUAGUUGCCAGCGCGUAAUGGCGGGAACUCUAACGAGACUGCCUGGGUUAAACCAGGAGGAAGGUGAGGAUGACGUCAAGUCCGCAUGGCCUUUAUGUCCAGGGCUACACACGUGCUACAAUGGUCGGUACAGAAGGCGGCGAAACCGCAAGGUGAAGCAAAUCCUGAAAAACCGNUCUCAGUUCAGAUUGU
rnacentral:rRNA from 1 species